rnacentral:lncRNA from 1 species
ACGACGAGUCAAGUCAACCACGUGGGGAACGGUAUGACCCCAAACUCAACCGGUAAACCUCAGUCAUCAACCGCAGCACAACAACCAACGGGCACCACACCAUCUUCUCAGUCAGGCAAAGAGUUUGAUUUUUCUUCCUUGAUGGAUGGAAUGUUCACUAAACAUUGAUCAAGAGAGGGACCUUUUCUGAAUUUUGUGCAUCUUAAAAUUUGUCCUGUAUUUGAAGAACUAAAAAUAUAUAUAUACAAUAAUAAUCUACGAUCAGCUUUUUCAUCAAACAAUUCUUUUCGUUGAAUUUUUUUGUUAUAGUUUGGACUAUGGUUUACAAAUAAACUGUAGGUAAAACACUGAAGCUGUAGGUUUAUGUGAAAAGCUAUAUAACAUGUACACGUAAAUUUCAAGCAAAACAAUCAAGUUGUUGUUAACUACACCUAACUAUUGUGAAGUAUGCUUUGUUCUAGAAACCAAACUUGAUAGUUGCUUUGCCUAUGUAAAGAUGGAUACGUACGAUUGCUUUUUGGAACUAAGCAAAGAAAACAAACGGCUAGAAAACCCGUUCAAACAGAAAGUUAUCGACCUUUAUUGGUAAGAUCAAUAAAGGCUACGUGUUGAUGUUGAACUUGUUAUGUAUGGACGGCUGUUUAAGCGUUACAAAAGGUUUGAGUUUGGCAUUGUUCGGGCUUUCGGUCAAAUGGCUUAAAUAAAAAACUCAUUCAUUCUCCUCUCCUUCACCACAAGUUUUUGUACCUCCCUCUCGCCAACCUUUGUUUACCUUUUUCCUUUUAAGAUGUCAUGUUCGUGAACCAAUUCAAUUGUAGAUAAGAUUAUAGUUAUUAAUGUUUGGUUCUUAAAUAGCCUUUUUAUAUAGUAGCAAACUAACGACUCAAAGACUGCGCGCGGGAUAGUUAAGUUCGGCAAUAUGAUAAAGACAACUUGUAAAUGCCUUUUGUUCAAAUCAUCCAGUUAAUAUCUAAUCUAAUUAAGUUGUGUAGAUUGGUUUUGUUGUUUUAGUUUUCUUAAAUUCUUGUGAAUCUUGCCAUUUUAGGUCUGUCGCAAUCAAGCUAAUAAAACACGUAAUAUGAUAAUUAAUGCAACACAGGAGACAAGUCAGACUCGACAGCCUUAUUCAUUUUGUUGUUUAUAAAAUAUAUAUAUAUACACGUUAUAUAUUUUAAGUUCUAUAAUCUAUAAAGGAUAUACACAGCAUUCUUUAACCAAUAAGAAGAAGAGGAUAUACACAAUAUAGCCAACAUGCAUUCAAAAUACAAGAAGAUAAAUCAUUUUCAAGCAAAAAAAAUCCAAAAUGGUCGGUGUUUUUUUUGUUGACCUGUAAUGCGAUCUAUAUCUUUCAUUGGUUUGAAUUGUCAAAUCAAAAAUAGUAAUAAACAAACUAUGCAUAGGCGCGUUAUGCAAAACAAAAUUGAACGCUAGAAUUGAGAAUGAACGAACGUAUGCAUAUCCAUCUCAAUUAUUUUUGUUUUCUUAGAUCUGCAUGUACUUAUUUGAAGCAUUUUUUACAUAUAUCAUAAUUCUCAUUCUCACUCUGAAUUUCAAACUAUUAAUUUUAUAAUGUCAAUGAAUAUGGCCUACAGCAAUACCUAAAAAUCAUACCUUGGCUGUUUGGAAUGUUAUGGCAACUAACUCACACAUUUCUCUAUAAUGACUAUUUUCUCUUUAAUUCUUUUAACUAUCUUGUCAUCGUUUGUUGUUUUUCUGCGAACCAACAUCGUUUAUUGUUCUAUUUUAAAAAGAAAACCAUUUUACCGUGUUAUACUAUGUUUUUGAGCCACCAAUGUAUCUCUAUCCUGAAGUUUCUCUUUUGUCGUCUCUAUAUCCUGAAGACUCACAAUCAGCUUAACUUUUGUUGCUAAGUGAAAAGAAAAAUCAACGCUACGACUUGGUACGUACUUGGUAGAUUCUCUCGCAAUUCUAUAAUCUUUAAAUGCCAUACAUACAUUUAUUGUCAAAUCUUGUUGUAGUGUUAGGUAUGGUCUAACUUCAAGCGAGAAAACCAAACCCAAACUGCCACGUGUAACUCAGAUAAGCCUCCUAAACCAUACCUUCUGUAAAGGUCCCACUUAUGAGUCUGUAAAAGGCCAACACAAUAGGGACCACAUCUUAAUUUUAAUUUCAUCAUUUUAUUAAUAAUUUAACAUAUAUAUACACACACCUCAGCUUCUUCUGUAGAUAAUAAGAUCAUCAUCGCCUUGACAAAAAAAAAAUCAUCAUCACCAUGCAGCUCCUCCCUACCUCUUCCUUUAAAACGACAGCCACCGUCGUCAUCGCCGGAGUCUUCUCUGUUUCGGCGGCGGUGAGUUUAGCCGUUCCAUCAGUUUCCCAUUUUGCUGCUUCUUGCUUUCCGAUCAUUUACGAUAGCACCAUCUUCCUCCUUAAGCCACCGUAUCUUUACCUAGUCAUCAACUGUAUCAUCCUCUCCAUCGUCGCUACAUCCAAGUUCACGCAUGAAUCAUGUUCCAGUACUGACGAUCCUGAUACGGUCGUACCGGUACCGGUACCUACUUAUAUCGACGCCGGUUAUCUAAACGUGGCGCACGUCGCCGGUUCUGAUUAUACCGGAUUUGUGGAGAAUGAUGCGACGGUGAAAGAUGUCCACGAAGUCAUUGAUAAUGAUAAGGUGAUAGGAGAAGAUGUAAAGACAGAGACGGAGAAGCCAAGAACGAGUAACGGUUUACCAGAACCGGAGACAGAUAAACCAAAACUAAAAGAUGGUUCGCUGGAGAUUCCGGUUCUGAAGAACACGAGGAAACCACCUAGGUUCGGUCGGCAAAAGUCGCUUAAAGCUAGCCAAGAAAGUAAGAAGUCUGCGUUGGGAGUGACGAAGCCACCGAGGAGACAAGACACGCUGGAGACGACGUGGAAGAAGAUAACGGAAGGACGCUCGACGCCGUUAAUUAAACACUUGUCGAAAUCCGACAAGUGGCAAGAAAGGUCGCACGUGCGAAGCUCAAAGGAGAAGACGACCAAGUCUGAGAACUCUACGGAGGAGGAGACGUUGCGGAAAACGCGUCUGAAACGCGAGCCGUCGCCGGGUCAGGAGGAGCUGAACCGGCGCGUGGAAGCGUUUAUCAAGAAGUUCAACGAAGAGAUGAGACUGCAAAGAUUGGAAUCUUUGGCCAAGUAUAACGAAUUGGUGCUAAAUGGAGGGACUCGUUUGUAAAUAAAUAUUCUUAUGUUUUCUUAGCUGUCGGAGAAGACUAGACGGCACCGGCACAGUCGCAAAUGUUGACUCUUUUUAGAACCACUUAAAAGGUUUUUUUUUGUCUUCAUGGGAAGAUAAAAUUGUAUGUGUUGAUUGUUUGUGUAUGUAUGUAUGAUUGUUCUAUUUAUACUUUCAAAAAAUCACAUUAAUCAUGUGGUUUAAAUGAAAGAUAUUGGGUAAACAGAGAGUAGACAGUGGACUAGUGAUUGAAUCCAUUGUUUGUUUGCUUUCUUAUAAACAAUAUUAUUAUUACUAUUUAUAAUAGAGAAAAAGACUAUUAUAGCACCAAACCAAGUUUUUGUUCCCAAAGUAGCACUCAAGGUUCAAAGUCACAAAAAUAUAUUUCAUUAAAGAGGUAAAUAUACACUUAUACCCCUUGGGUUAAUUAAUCCAAACCUUAGGGUUUAGAGUUAAGGGGUGGGGUUUUGGAAUUAGGGUUUAAAAUUUUAUAACAAAUAAAUACUAAAAUAAAAAAUAAAAAUUUUAAAAACAGUUUCAAAAAGUAUUUUUAAAUUAUAAAAAGAAAAUUUGAAAAAAAAAUAAAAAAAAAAUUUCAAAAAAAAAAAUUAUAAAAAUUUUGAAUCUGAAAACAUAUAAUCUGAAACUAUAAAAAAAACGCAAGCAAGCACUCCUCAAUAUCCAGUAUCCAGGUAUGUAAACAAUAUUGCUUUCUGGUUGUAUCAUCUAUAAAGAUGUAAGAAAAACAAAGAAGUAAACAGUACCCCUCUCAUUCAAUUUUCAUGAGCUCCCACGGUUUAUCAAUCUGCGCCAACUUUGGUUGCUUUGUUUGUUACAGUUUCUACACUACGGGUCAAGCUAAUCCCGCGGCUAAUGGUAUGACCCCAAACACAACAGUUAAACCUCAGUCAUCAUCAUCCUCGGCGACGAGCACUACACCAUCUUCUCAAACAGGCAAAGAGUUUGAUUUUUCUUCCUUGAUGGAUGGAAUGUUCACUAAACAUUGAUCAAGAGAGGGACCUUUUCUGAAUUUUGUGCAUCUUAAAAUUUGUCCUGUAUUUGAAGAACUAAAAAUAUAUAUAUACAAUAAUAAUCUACGAUCAGCUUUUUCAUCAAACAAUUCUUUUCGUUGAAUUUUUUUGUUAUAGUUUGGACUAUGGUUUACAAAUAAACUGUAGGUAAAACACUGAAGCUGUAGGUUUAUGUGAAAAGCUAUAUAACAUGUACACGUAAAUUUCAAGCAAAACAAUCAAG